ensembl:lncRNA
GAAAGCUGAGCACUGAAGAAUUGACGCUUUUUCACUGUGGUGUUGGAGAAGACUCUUGAGAGUCCCUUGGACAGCAAGGAAAUCAAACCAGUCUAUCCUAAAGGAAAUCAGUCCUGAAUAUUCAUUGGAAGGACUGGUGCUGAAGCUGCAACUCCAAUACUUUGGCCACCUGAUGCAAAGAACUGAUUCAUUUGAAAAGACCCGGAUGCUGGGAAAGAUUGAACGUGGGAGGAGAAGAGGACAACAGAGGAUGAGAUGGUUGGAUGGCAUCACCAACUCAAUGGACAUAAGAGUUUGAGUAAACUCAGGGAGUUGGUGAUGGACAGGGAGGCCUGGUGUGCUGCAAUCAGUGGGGUCGCAAAGAGUUGAACACAACUGAGUGACUGAACUGAACAAAAUGGCAAUAAGAACAUACAUUUUAAUAAUUAAAUGUAACUGAAUUAAAUGCUCAAACCAAAAGACAUAGACAGGCUGAAUAGAUACACAACAAAACCUGUAUAUAUGCCCUCUAUAAUAGACCCACUUCAGAUCUAUGGACAGAUCUGAAGGCUAAACAAUAUUUAUUAGAUAACCAGUGAUCACUAGAGAAAUCAAAGAGAAAAGCAAAAUAUACCUAGAGACAAAUGACAAUAAAAACAUCAUGACCCCAAACUUAUGGGAUACAGCAAAAGCCAUUCUAAGAGGGAAGUUUAUAGCAAUACCAUCUUACCUCAGGAAACAAGAAAAAUCUCAAAUAAACAUCCUAACUUACACAUAAAGCAACUAGAGAAAGGAGAACAAAACCGAAGUUAGUAGAAGGAGAGCAAUUAUAAAGAUCAGGGAAGACAUAAAAGAAGUAGAAACAAAACAAAUGCAAAAUAUUACAGGCCAGCAUCACUGAUGAACACUGAUGAAACUAAAGGCUAGUUCUUAGAAAAGAUAACAUUGGCAAAAUUCUAGCCAUACUCAUGAAAAAAGAGGGAGAGCAUUCAUAUCAAUAGAAUUAGAAAUGAAAAAAGUUACAGCCAACACCACAGAAAUACAAAGGGAUAUAAGAGACUACUACAAGCAACUAUAUGCCAAUAAAAUGAACAACGU